rfam:Anopheles funestus strain FTMOZ unplaced genomic scaffold supercont1.86, whole genome shotgun sequence.
CCUUCGAUAGCUCAGUUGGUAGAGCGGUGGACUGUAGAUAGUGUCGGAGAGCGAGGAUCUCCUGCAGAAAUGCAUCUGAGAUCCCCUCCAGUCAAUAGUAAUCCAUAGGUCACUGGUUCAAAUCCGGUUCGAAGGA